ensembl:lncRNA
AGAGGCAGGGAAGAAACAAAAGGGGAGAGUGAGAAAGAGGCAGGGAAGGAACCUAGGUUUUUAGUAUCCUGGUGGGACCCUUCCUGUAGGACAGUGGGACCAUGAGCACUGACUGGUUGUUCUUUGGUUAAGCUGGGGAGAUUUUAUUUUGGCGGGCAUGAAGCCUACUGUCCUGGUUCCAAGGUCCAAGGGUGCAGGGGUGAACUUGCACGGAAUGAGAUCAUGUGAGCCAGCCUUCAAGAACCUAGACUUUGCCCUGGCUGACAAGAUUGAAACCAUUGCCUUCGAAAACAAGUUAGAUCUACCUUUGGAAGCUAAAUUAGAACACAAAGAUCACAGAGAACUUACUUUUAAAAGCCUUUAGUGUUUGCUAAGCUACCAUUUCAGCAGGUGGUGGCCAGCCUCGUUUUAAGCAAACUUAGUGGAGCCUGGAGCUGUUGUGCAUAGGUCCCGCUUAGAGUGUUGGGUGGACAGGUCUCAGUGAUGGAUGCCUCCAGGCACCUGUAGAGCCCUGCUGACCCACCUGAGAUCUACAAGUGGACUUCGUAACAGGGCUCACGGUCAACGUCAAAGGGGGCUGCCCUUCUUGGUGAAUCUCCCUUUCCCCCAAGUACCCAUGGGAUCUUUGGGCACCUGUCUGUGGACCCUCCUGAUUUGUUUUGUUUUGUUUUGUGGUUUCCUGGUGAAUGGUAUUGACUCACCUUCCUGUUGCCCGCUAAACCCCCAAGACCUGGCUCUCUGACUUCAACAGCCCCUCAACAAGCAGGUUCCUUGAACCGAGAAGUUAUCAGAUCCCCGGCAGAGUGCUCAUCCUUGGAGGAAAUCCAAGGCAGUGAGCAACUCCGUGGCUUAGUUCCGGAGCCUGAAGAGUGGAACGCCUCCUUGGCAUUCCCAGAGCCGGAUGCAGUGUCCGGCUGCUUGCCCGGUCUGACACCUGAUGGCAAGGGGUUUCUCCUUUCUGUGACACAUCCAGGAGUGAAAAUAGAGUGAUACUGAGCCCCCUUGAGAGAGCCAGUGAUCGGAUGUGGAAAAGAGUCAGAAACAAGACAGGCCACUCUUCCAGGAAGACGUUUAUGGGUGGUCUGGCUCUGGCCAGGAAUUGGAAAAGACCCUGAUGCUGGAAAAGAUUGAAGGCAGGAGGAGAAGGGAACAACAGAUGAGAUGGUUGGAUGGCAUCAUCAACUGAAUGAACAUGAACUUGAGCCAACUCCGGGAGACAGUGGACAGAGAAACCUGGCCUGCUGCAGUCCACGGGGCUGCAAAGAAUUGGACACAACUUAGCGACUGAACAACUGGCUCUAGUUUUUUUGGCUACGGUCUCUCUCGCCCCGAGCGAAAUGUAUUUCCCCCAGAUUCCUGGCCUUGGGGAGGCUGUGCAGUGUCAGGAUGCCGGGAGCCAUGCCCCCUCCCCAGGUGUCACUGCAGGGCAUGGUGGGCCCAGGGCCAGCUGUCACAUGAACUGAAGGGGUGUGUUUUCUCGCAGAGCUCUGGUAGUCUUUAGGAAUGUGGUUUCUCCUCAGCUUUGGGACAUUUGUGACCUGCUCUUGUGACCAUCCUGGCGCAGAAACAAGGCAUCGAUUCCCUCCAGGACUCAGAGAAAGGGCACAGAGGACAAGGUGAACCGCAUGGUCUGUCUGAAAGCUCCCAUCUCUACUUGGGGCUUCCCUGGUGGCUCAGUGGUAAAGAAUCCACCUGCCAGUGCAGGAGCCGUGGGUUCGAUCCCUGGGUUGGGAAGAUCCCCUGGAAAAGGAAAUGGCAACCCACUCCAGUAUUCUUGCGUGGGAAGUCCCAUGGACAGAGGAGCCUAGUGGGCUGCAGUCCAUGGGGGUCGCACAGAGUCAGACAAGACUAAGUAACUGAGCACACACAUACACACAUCUCUACUUGGGCUCUUACAUGUAAGACUUACUGGAGAGGCAUAUGGGCUGGGCUGGGAGGGAGGGUGGCUGUUAACUUCUUUGCUAUAGGAGCUGGGCUCUUUAGACUCAGUCUUGACAGAGGAUUCCUUAGUGAGGUGGAUCAGUUCUAGGGCCAGUCUCUUAGGGUAGAACCUGGGUCUAGAGAGUGAGGGGUUCAGCAUAGCUUGGGAACUACAGGACUGACCCAGACUUUCUAGGUUCCAUGACCUGGGGACAUACAGAUGUUUUGUGACCCAGUCCAUGCAAGUGGAAGCAGAAUUGACCCAACCCUCAGAAAUGUAAAGGGAGUACCCUCAGUUCCCCAGGACACCCUUUGCUUCACGCUCACAUUCCUCUAAUUUUAUUCUGUGCAUGGAAUGUGGCUCUGAUAUGGAGGGGGUCACUCAAGAUGUCGAGACCACCCCCCUUUUCCUGACUGGUCCCGUUGUGCUCUGUGUCUCUCAGGUCCUCUUGGCUGUCCUUCCUCCGUAUGUCAUGUCUGCUGUCUUCAGCUUAUUCCACAGAGCUGUCCUCUCUUCUCCGCUUGUCAUUUUGGAAGCAGCCUCUAGGAACCUUACUGACCCCCCUCCGACUGUGUCCGGGCUUCCUGUGCCCCCGCCUGUACCCCAAGUGAUUCAAAGAAAGCACCUUUCUCAGCAGAGCAGAUCCUGCCCGAAGAGUCUCCUAGUCUCCCCGCCUCAACCCUGUAUGCUUGGGUGGCCCUGGCGAUUAUGGCCUGAAUUCCUUGGGUUCUCCCC